AAAUCUGUGGAGGGAAUCAGGGGGCUGCAGCAGGAAGCCAUAGACCCUGCUUCCCAUGCCCAGCAACCACGCCCAGGAGCAGCAGCCGUGGAGGCUCCUCCCCCCUCUCUGCAGGGGCCAAGUGGGAGCUCAGGAGCGGGCGUGGCAGGAGGGGCACAGAGCUAGGCUCUUACUGACACUGAUUUGACUAAUGAUUAAGCCUGCAAGGUGCGGAGAAAGAUGGAGCACAGUGGGUGAAGAUAAACCAAGAGAAGAAGGCUGAGGAACUGAAAGGGGCCAGGCCUGGAGAUCCGUGCCAGUUAGCACUGGGGCCAGAGUGGCCCAUGCAGCAGACCUUCUGGCAGCUGCCUGCACUCAAGGGUGUGUUGCUGAAGAGAAACAGGUGCUCUCAGGGCUGCUGAGCUGGGGCGUAAAAGAAUAACAUAACUUUUCAAAAAAAUCACACCUGGUGAAAACAACCGAAAUGUCCAUCAGUGGAUGGGUGGAUAAAGAAAACACGGUGUAUCCGAGCAAUGGAAUAUUUUUUGGAUACAAAAAGGAAUGGAGUACUGAUGCAUGCUACUGUUGUGAAUGAACCUUGGAAACAUACUAAGUGAAAGAAGCUGGACACAAAAGGCUACAUACUGUAUGGUUCCACUUACACAAGCUAUUUAGAAUAGGUAAGUCUGUAACAACAGGAAGCAAAUUAGCACUUGUUGGUGCUGGGAGGAGGGGAGAAUAAGGGUUGAAGCUUAUGGCUAUGCGGGUUGCUAUGGGUAUGGAUGAAAUUAUGGAACUAGACAGAGGUGGUUGUACAACACUGUGAGUGUACUAAAUACCACUGAAUCGUACAUACUUUUUUUUUUAACUGAAGUAUAGUCGAUUUACAAUGUUAUAUUGAUUUCUGGUGUACAGCAUAGUGAUUCAUAUAUAUAUAUAUUCCUUUUCAUUUUUUUUCAAUAUAGACUAUUACAAGGUAUUGAAUGUAGUUCCCUGUGCUAUACAGUAGGACCUUGCUGUUUGUCUAUUUUAUAUAUAGUAGUAGUUAGUAUGUGUAAAUCUCAAACUCCCAGUUUAUCCCUCCACCCACCCCUCUCUGGUAACCAUAAGUUUGUUUUCUAUGUGUGUGAGUCUGUUUCUGUUUUGCAAACAUGGUCACUUGUCUCACUUUUUAAGAUUCCACAUAUAAAUGGUAUCAUAUAGUAUUCUCCUUUCUCUUUCUGGCUUACUUCACUUAGAAUGACAAUCUCCAGAAGUAUCCAUGUUGCUGCAAAUGGCAUUAUUUUAUUUUUUAUGGCCAAGUAGUAUUCCACUGUAUAAAUACACCACAACUUCUUUAUCUAAUCAUCUGUUGAUGGACAUUUAAGUUGCUUCCAUGUCUUGGCUAUUGUAAAUAGUGCUGCUGUGAACAUUGGGGGUGCAUGUAUCUUUUUGAAUUAGAGUCUCCUCCAGAUAUAUGCCCAGGAGUGGGAUUGCUGGAUCAUAUGGUAAGUCUAUUUUUAGUUUUUCAAAGGAAUUUGCAGACUGUUUUCCAUAACGGCUGCACCAAACUACAUCCCCACCAACAGAGUAGGAAGGUUCCCUUUUCUCCACACCCUCUCCAGCAUUUGUUGUUUAUGGACUUUUUUUUUUUUAAAUAUAUUUUUAUUUAAGUAUAGUCAGUUUACAAUGUUGUGUCAAAGUUCAUGGACUUUUUAAUGAUAGCCAUUCUGACUGGUGUGAGGUGAUACUUCAUUGAAGUUUUGAUUUGCAUUUCUGUAAUAGUUAGCAAUAUUGAGCAUUUUUUCAUGUGCCUAAUUGUACAGUUUGACAUGGUUAAUUUUAGGUUAUGUAAAUUUCACCUUAACUAAAACUACAACCAAAAGUCACAACCAAAAGUCACACCCACCAAAGCAAUUGUUAUCUUGCUAAACAUCAUCUUAAAACUCCACACUUAUUCCAGAAGUAGCCUCUCUGAGCAGCAUGUAUUUGAAAAACGUCGUGAAGCUACCUUCUCAGAAAACCUGAGGCUACUGAGGAAAUCAGUCUGAUUACUUAACAGUCAUGUCUCAAUUUUGACUACUAACAACACUUUCUGAUUUUAUUGCCAGAAGUAUUUCCCACAGUUGAUUGGCCUCUGGACAUUUUUAAAAAUCAUAUCCUUUCUCGUUAAGGAUAUUCUAAAGAACAAGGAGUUCAGAGUUUGUAUUGCUUUGAGAAAGUGCACACUUGAGUGUAAUCACAGAGGGAUGUCUGUCCAAAACUAGUCACUGUUUCAUGGUCUGACCAUCUGGCUUUGUCAUGAAGCCGGGAGCUCCUGAGAUAUACGCUACUGCCUCCCAAGGUGAGAUGCUCUUCCAGGGUCAGUGUGGACUAGGGACCCCAAGCAAAGCUUGAUGGGGACAAGGCCUGGUCCCCAUGCCCUCACGUCCCAGGGCCUGUCCCUUCAUCUUUACCCACGUGCCUCUCCGGAGUCACCAGACCACACUGGCCUAAUCCCCAUUGCUUCAGAGGCAAAUGAAAAGACCACUUACACAGCCUGCACAGUCUGUCCUCCUGCCUCGGAGGAUGAAGGACCCUCCCCUCAUGCCUGCUGUCAUCUCUAUGUUUAAUAAACUAUGAUCUUGAUGAUCCUUCUUGGUCAAUGA